GGUGGUCUACUGAACUGCCGUAGAUAAAACCAAGAGAAACAGGUAGGGAGACGUUGACUUGUCAGUUAGAGAAACGCUUGAGUGCUGCAGAUUGAAUGAUUCUGGGGAAGAAGUGGGUAUCAGAUAUCGCUCUGAAGAUCUCCAUCACUUGAGAGGAGCUGGAUGGCUGUGAGGCAGACCGUGGACAGCUGCACAAACCACCUUGACAAACGGAUCUGAGAGGGACAAACACGAGUCAACACAGACUUCCAAUACGAGUCGAUCAUCAGCCUUUAGAUCUUUCCAUUCGUGUAUUGGUUGUCCGAGGUCUAUGCUGUUCAUUGGGAUCUUGAUUUCGCCGAUGACAUCAUGUUUUCCAAAACGGUCGAAAUCAAAAACCUGCAGCACCAGAGUUUGACCACCCAGCUCACUCAUGUACACUUUAACGUAAGGGUCAGAGGUUCCGCCAAUGUCCAUCGCUGGGAGGUCCUGAGCCUGAAGGAUGCCCACGAUCAACUGGAGAAGAAUCCAAGAGCAGAAGAGCCGUUCAAGUUCCAAACUACAGCUGCGUCUCCGUUACAAAUGUUCACAAAUCUACGUAAAGUCUAUUUUCUGCUACUGUUGAGAAAACACAAUUUUGCAUUUGUGGUGUUUCUAUUAAAUGAGAAAUGAAAUUAAAAUCACAUGUGAAUUAUCUUGUUCACUUGAUAAGUCAGCAAAUAUCAUGGCAGUGACGGAUGUGAACAGUUGCAUGAGAUUUUAGCGCUCAUCAUUUAUCAGCCAGUCAGGGGAGAUGUCAGCGUCUUAUUCAGGCGUUGGGAGCGGCUGCGGAUCCAGUGUUUUGGAUGUGUAAUUGAAAAUAAUGAGGUGGUAAAAUAUUAAUGGUCUUUCUUAAUGUGUAGCUGAAAUGAUGCCUUGCUCAUCAAUGUUUUCCUUUAUGUAUGUAUUUUUUUUUUUUUUCUUUGCCAGCAAACCCAUGUAAGGCAUCAUAUUUUGUAUACUGUAAUACCAAAGCCUGUUUGUGUUCAGACCUUAAUAAAUUUUCUACCAAAGGAAAGUACAAGUU